GAUGAAGAACGUAGCGAAAUGCGAUAAGUAGUGUGAAUUGCAGAAUUCAGUGAAUCAUCGAAUCUUUGAGCGCACAUUGCGCCCCUUGGUAUUCCAUGGGGCAUGCCUGUUCGAGCGUCAUUUGUACCUUCAAGCUUUGCUUGGUGUUGGGUGUUUGUCCCUCGGGACUCGCCUUAAAGUCAUUGGCAGCCAGUGUUUUGGUUUUGAAGCGCAGCACAAGUCGCGAUUCAAGGCUAUCCGCCCGCUUCCACAAGCCUUUUUCACUUUUGACCUCGGAUCAGGUAGGGAUACCCGCUGAACUUAAGCAUAUCAAUAAGCGGAGGA
rnacentral:misc_RNA from 1 species